rnacentral:rRNA from 1 species
UACGUAGGCAGCGAGCGUUGUUCGGAGUUACUGGGCGUAAAGGGUGUGUAGGCGGUUGUUUUAAGUUUGGUGUGAAAUCUCCCGGCUCAACUGGGAGGGUGUGCCGAAUACUGAAUGACUUGGAGUGCGGGAGAGGAGAGUGGAAUUCCUGGUGUAGCGGUGAAAUGCGUAGAUAUCAGGAGGAACACCGGUGGUGUAGACGGCUCUCUGGACCGUAACUGACGCUGAGACACGAAAGCGUGGGUAGCAAACAGG